GUCCAUACCGAAUCACGUGAGACUAACUACUCACACCCACCGAACACCUUUCGGGGUGUGGUUGUGGGUGUGGAUAGGACCUGAGCGUGUUGUAGGUAAGCGUGUUAACAGGUGUGACGCAGGAAGGUAGCCAGGCUGCGCGAUGGUUGUCGCAGUCUAAGGUUGUAGGCCGUCAUCUAGGUAAAUCCGGGUGACGUGUGGCUGAGAGCUGAUGGGCAUUCCACGUGGUGGAGUGACCUGGUGAUCCUAUGCCGCCAAGUAAAGCAUCGACGUGAGGUUUGAUCCGCCCGUGCCGAUAACCGACACAGGUAGUCAGGUAGAGAAUACUAAGGCGAGCGAGAUAAUCGUAGUUAAGGAACUCGGCAAAUUGCCCCCGUAACUUCGGAAGAAGGGGGACCAUCCUGGUACUAACCCAUAGCGGUGAAAGCUGGUGGUGGUCGCAGAGACCAGAGAGAAGCGACUGUCUACUAAAAACACAGGUCCGUGCGAAGACGUAAGUCGAUGUAUACGGACUGACGCCUGCCCGGUGCUGGAAGGUUAAGAGGACCCGUUAACCCUUGGGUGAAGCGGAGAAUUUAAGCCCCAGUAAACGGCGGUGGUAACUA
rnacentral:rRNA from 1 species